rnacentral:rRNA from 1 species
UACGGAGGGUGCACGCGUUAUCCGGAUUCACUGGGUUUAAAGGGUGCGUAGGUGGGCAGGUAAGUCAGUGGUGAAAUCUCCGGGCUUAACUCGGAAACUGCCAUUGAUACUAUCUGUCUUGAAUACCGUGGAGGUUAGCGGAAUAUGUCAUGUAGCGGUGAAAUGCUUAGAUAUGACAUAGAACACCAAUUGCGAAGGCAGCUGGCUACACGAAUAUUGACACUGAUGCACGAAAGCGUGGGGAUCAAACAGG